GCUAAAUGCGGAAGAGAUAAGUGCUGAAAGCAUCUAAGCACGAAACUUGCCCCGAGAUGAGUUCUCCCUGACUCCUUGAGAGUCCUGAAGGAACGUUGAAGACGACGACGUUGAUAGGCCGGGUGUGUAAGCGCAGCGAUGCGUUGAGCUAACCGGUACUAAUGAACCGUGAGGCUUAACCUUACAACGCCGAAG
rnacentral:rRNA from 1 species